AGAGUUUGAUUAUGGCUCAGGAUGAACGCUAGCGAUAGGCCUAACACAUGCAAGUCGAGGGGCAGCACAUGAAGUAGCAAUACGGAUGGUGGCGACCGGCGCACGGGUGAGUAACGCGUAUGCAACCUGCCUACAACAGGGGAAUAACCCGUUGAAAGACGGACUAAUACCCCAUAACACAGGGGAUCCCGCAUGGGAAUAUUUGUUAAAGAUUUAUCGGUUGUAGAUGGGCAUGCGUUCCAUUAGCUUGUUGGUGAGGUAACGGCUCACCAAGGCAACGAUGGAUAGGGGAACUGAGAGGUUUAUCCCCCACACUGGUACUGAGACACGGACCAGACUCCUACGGGAGGCAGCAGUGAGGAAUAUUGGUCAAUGGACGCAAGUCUGAACCAGCCACGUCGCGUGAAGGAAGACGGCCCUACGGGUUGUAAACUUCUUUUGUAAGGGAAUAAAGUGCAGUACGUGUACUGUUUUGCAUGUACCUUACGAAUAAGGAUUGGCUAACUCCGUGCCAGCAGCCGCGGUAAUACGGAGGAUCCGAGCGUUAUCCGGAUUUAUCGGGUUUAAAGGGUGCGCAGGCGGGAGAUUAAGUCGGCGGUGAAAUUUUGCAGCUCAACUGUAAAAGUGCCUUCGAAACUGGUUUUCUUGAGUGUGGAUGAAGUAGGCGGAAUUUGUGGUGUAGCGGUGAAAUGCAUAGAUAUCACGAGGAACUCCGAUUGCGCAGGCAGCUUACUAAACCAUAACUGACGCUCAGGCACGAAGGCGUGGGGAUCAAACAGGAUUAGAUACCCUGGUAGU
rnacentral:rRNA from 1 species